UUUGUGGCUAAAAGAAAAAUGUGACUAUAACUAUUCUUUGGUCACAGACCAUCCACCCUCCACCUGCAAUUGGAACCCUAAUCCAUCACCUGCUACGAUAAGUUCAACUUCAUCGCUUAUCCAUUUUUGAGAAAAUUUUGAUAAUAUCCAAUAUCCACUGUUCAUCAACAUCGGUUGAAGCUCGUCUUGGUUUGACCUGUGCAAAGCGUUGCAGCUGCUCGAACUUCAAAACUGCUUUAAGACCACCCGUAGUGGAGUUUUUUUUUGGUGUUUUUCUCCAAAAAAAAAAACGCCCAAACACGCCUUGGGACCGCCCCGGGAGCAUCUUUCUUGAAAAAAAAGGGUGGGGCAUCCUAUUUUAAACGCCUGCACUUGAUUUUUUGGCCAAUAAGACUGUUGCCAACGCCUGGACUUGAUGUUUUGGCCAAUAGUUUUAAUUUGAAAAAAAGAGUAAUUGGGUAUUGA